UCUGUGACUGUGUCUCUCUCCCUCUCUCUCUGACUCUGAUCCUUGCUCUCGCUCUCACCUGCACACACCUGAAGCACAUGUUCCAUUUUGUGGAAAAUGAAGAAGGAAGCCACACUCACUGAACCGAAGCCUUCUGACGUUUCGUUUGGUGUGAGGUCGCCAGAAACAGCGCCUUCGGGGGGUGGUGGAGCUUGGUCCCCCAACCCCACACCGGGAAGCCGGGCGGGGCCCAGGCACACCCCCGCCCCCACAGGGCUCGUGCUCCCAGCUCCCAAGACUCCCGGAAUUUCCUGAAGGAGCCACGGGAACAUCUGUCAUCACAGAAUUUGGUCUCUGGUCCUCAGUUCCUGAACCGCUCACAGCUCUUUUCCACCACGGCUGGGCUCACAUCGAUGAGGGGACUUUGGGACAUGCCUGAAGAAGGGCCGGUUACCAGAGAGACCCACCCAAAUCGAGGGUUGGAGGCGUCAGCCCCACCCCGACUUCCGGGGGAGCCGAGGGGCCAUGGAGCUUGAACCCGUCCGGCUGCCCACGAUUCAACCUGCCGCACCUGUGCGGUGAAGCCUCCCAGACCCACAGGGCGGGGUUCGGGGAGCAUCCAGGCUGGUGAGCAGGCGGCUCCCAUGCACCGCCAUGCUGGGACCUCGCCCUGGGUGUGUCUUCCUCUGGCCAUGGAUCCGUCUCCUUGCACACAUCCUUUGUAAUAAACCAGUAACCUCUGGCUUUCUGAGGUCCGUGA